rnacentral:rRNA from 1 species
CCUACGGGAGGCAGCAGUGGGGAAUAUUGCACAAUGGGGGAAACCCUGAUGCAGCGACGCCGCGUGAGUGAAGCAGUAUUUCGGUACGUAAAGCUCUAUCAGCAGGGACGAAAAUGACGGUACCUGACUAAGAAGCCCCGGCUAACUACGUGCCAGCAGCCGCGGUAAUACGUAGGGGGCAAGCGUUAUCCGGAUUUACUGGGUGUAAAGGGAGCGUAGACGGCAGCGCAAGUCUGGAGUGAAAUCCCAUGGCUUAACCAUGGAACUGCUUUGGAAACUGUGCAGCUAGAGUGCAGGAGAGGUAAGCGGAAUUCCUAGUGUAGCGGUGAAAUGCGUAGAUAUUAGGAGGAACACCAGUGGCGAAGGCGGCUUACUGGACUGUAACUGACGUUGAGGCUCGAAAGCGUGGGGAGCAAACAGGAUUAGAUACCCGUGUAGUC